UUGUGAUACCCGGAACUAGACAAGCCAUAUACUGUGUUAUUCAGCGAAAUUUCAGCUUUCAUUGAAAAAACUAUGUUUCUAACAAUUACCGUUCAAUCGUUAUUAAUAUAAAUAUAAACUAUGCAUGUUUGGCGCAUGGGUUCGUCAAUCGACUUUAGGGGUUUCUAUAAUGAAGACCAUGUACAGUGACUCACUUCACAUUAUCUUGCUGAGGUUGUAAAAGUUAUUUAUCUUGUGUGUUUUCCAGCCAUUUCCCACAAGAUUAUUAAAACAAUAUUUUACGGGACAGUUACCAGGAACAGGAAGUGAACUGCACGAGCCUACAGCUGUAUGAGCCUACAGUCUGACAAAGAAGAACACUGCUAUCUGCUGGGGAAAGGAAAGUGUCUACCUCUACUGUGGCUGUCGUACUCUGCUCCAGUGAAGAGGUGCUCCAGAAUGAAGUCAAGCAGCGUCCUCUGAAGUUUAGAGUUGUGGGUGUAGAGCAAGGGGCCCACACCUGCAAAUGCUAGUUCUGGGCCGUCAGGACAUCACAGAGAAAGGGGGGGCGGGAGAUAAUGCAUGCACAUCGAUGGGGCAGAAGCCAUUAAUUGUUACAAUUCCGAACGGUCAGAUAGCAUACAACAUUGACAAGAAGCUGCCAUGUGGGUGGUUUGUUUCAGCUGAAAAAAUAUAUAUAGAUGCAACAAUUUCAAAGAUUUUACUGUUACAGUUCAUCUUAGGAAAUCAGUCAAUUGAAAUAAAUAAAUGAUGUCUUAAUCUAUGGAUUUCAUAUGACUAGGAAAACAGAUAUACAUCUGUUGGUCACAGAUAUCUUUUUUUUUUAAAGGUAGGGGCGUGAAUCAGAAAACCAGUCAGUAUCUGGUGUGACAACCAUUUGCCUCAUACAGCGCGACUCCUUUGCAUAGUUGAUCAGGCUGUUGAUUGUGGCCUAUGGAAUGUUGUCCCACUUCUCUUCAAUGGCCGUGCAAAGUUGCUGGCAGUAACUGUCGAUCCAGAGCAUCCCAAACAUGCUCAAAGGGUGACAUGUCUGGUGAGUAUGCAGGCCAUGGAAGAACUGGGACAUUUUUAGCUCCCAGGAAUUGUGUACAGAUCCUUGCAUUAUCAUGCUGAAACAUAAGGUUAUGGCAGCGGAUUAAUGGCAAGACAAUGGGCCUCAGGAUCUCGUUAUGGUAUCUCUGUACAUUCAAAUUGACAUCAAUAAAAUGCAUAUGUGUUAA